AUACGGAGGGGGUUAGCGUUGUUCGGAAUUACUGGGCGUAAAGCGUACGUAGGCGGACUGGAAAGUUGGGGGUGAAAUCCCGGGGCUCAACCCCGGAACUGCCUCCAAAACUUCCAAUCUAGAGAUCGAGAGAGGUGAGUGGAAUUCCAAGUGUAGAGGUGAAAUUCGUAGAUAUUUGGAGGAACACCAGUGGCGAAGGCGGCUCACGGGCUCGAUACUGACGCUGAGGUACGAAAGCGUGGGGAGCAAACAGGAUUAGAAACCCCGGUAGUCC
rnacentral:rRNA from 1 species